GGGGUGCAUACAUGCAAGUCGAGCGGAGCAUCCUUGAUGAAGUUUUCGGAUGGAAUCAGGAUUGACUUAGCGGCGGACGGGUGAGUAACACGUGGAUAACCUGCCUUAUACUGGGGGAUAACAGCCAGAAAUGGCUGCUAAUACCGCAUAAGCGCACGGCGCCGCAUGGCGCAGUGUGAAAAACUCCGGUGGUAUAAGAUGGAUCCGCGCCUGAUUAGCUAGUUGGCGGGGCAGCGGCCCACCAAGGCGACGAUCAGUAGCCGGCCUGAGAGGGCGACCGGCCACAUUGGGACUGAGACACGGCCCAAACUCCUACGGGAGGCAGCAGUGGGGAAUAUUGCACAAUGGGGGGAACCCUGAUGCAGCGACGCCGCGUGAGUGAAGAAGUAUUUCGGUAUGUAAAGCUCUAUCAGCAGGGAAGAAGAUGACGGUACCUGACUAAGAAGCCCCGGCUAACUACGUGCCAGCAGCCGCGGUAAUACGUAGGGGGCAAGCGUUAUCCGGAUUUACUGGGUGUAAAGGGAGCGUAGACGGCAGGGCAAGUCUGGAGUGAAAGCCCGGGGCCCAACCCCGGGACUGCUUUGGAAACUGCCAUGCUAGAGUGCUGGAAAGGUAANCGGAAUUCCUAGUGUAGCGGUGAAAUGCGUAAAUAUUAGGAGGAACACCAGUGGCGAAGGCGGCUUACUGGACAGUAACUGACGUUGAGGCUCGAAAGCGUGGGGAGCAAACAGGAUUAGAUACCCCUGUUAGUCCACGCCGUAAACGAAGAAAUGCUAGGUGGUCCGUGGGGCAAGCCCAUC
rnacentral:rRNA from 1 species